UACGUAGGGUGCAAGCGUUGUCCGGAAUUAUUGGGCGUAAAGAGCUCGUAGGCGGUUCGUCGCGUCGGCUGUGAAAACCCGGAGCUCAACUCCGGGCCUGCAGUCGAUACGGGCGGACUUGAGUGUUGCAGGGGAGACUGGAAUUCCUGGUGUAGCGGUGAAGUGCGCAGAUAUCAGGAGGAACACCGGUGGCGAAGGCGGGUCUCUGGGCAACUACUGACGCUGAGGAGCGAAAGCGUGGGGAGCGAACAGG
rnacentral:rRNA from 1 species